ensembl:lncRNA
AAAUCCAAAAGCCGACCGCGCGGAUGGCAGCGGUGGCGAAGUGGAAACAGUUCAGGGGGCCGUCCGUGCACACGGCAACGGGCAAACAGUUCAGGGGGCCGACCGUGCACACGGCAACGGUGGCGACGGGCAAACAGUUCAGGGGGCCGACCGUGCACACGGCAACGGCGGCGACGGGCAAACAGUUCAGGGGGCCGACCGUGCACACGGCAACGGCGGCGACGGGCAAACAGUUCGGGUGGCCGACCGUGCACACGGCAACGGCGGUGGCAGAGCAGGUCCGGAGGUUGGCCGCGAAGCCAGCGGUGGCGGCGAGUUCUUUCAGGAGGCCGCCCUCGACGGCCAUGAUGCCAGCUUAGAGGCCUGGAAAGCGGCCAACAAGGAUGAGGUGGCACAGGGCGAGCUGGCUCUGACGGCAGUGUUGACGAGGCUGAGGCUGACUCGGAGGCUGCAGCCGGAGCUGGACCAGGCGAGGCAGGAACAGAUGCUGAAGCCGGACCAGGCGGCGAGGCAGGAACAGAUGCUGAGGCCGGACCAGGCGAUGAGGCAGGAACAGAUGCUGAGGCCGGACCAGGCGACGAGGCAGGAACAGAUGCUGAGGCCAGACCAGGCGGCGAGGAUGAAGGCGCGGAGGCUGCAGCUGGCGAGGAUGAAGGCGCGGAGGCUGCAGCUGGCGAGGAUGAAGGCUCGGAGGCUGCAGCUGGCGAGGAUGAAGGCGUUGCGGGGGCUGGGCCAGGCGACGCUGAAGACGAAGCAGACUCGGAGGCUGGACCAGGCGAGGGUGGAGCUGACGCAGAGGCUGCGGCUGCUGCAGGCGUGGAUGAAGCCGCGGCUGCUGCAGGCGGCGCGGGUGAAGCUGAAGCUGGACCAGGCGACGCGGAUGAAGCUGCGGCUGGACCAGGCUUGGGUGAAGCUGCGGCUGGACCAUGCGACGGCGUGGGUGAUGCAGCUGAUGAGGAGGCUGCUGCAGGCGGCGCUGAAGCAGAUGAGGAGGCUGCUGCAGGCGGCGUGAUUGGAGCUGCUGCUGCUGCAGGCGGCGUGGAUGUAGCUGAUGAGGAGGCUGCUGCAGGCAGCGCUGAAGCAGAUGAGGCUGCUGCAGGCGGCGUGAUUGGAGCUGCUGCUGCUGCAGGCAGCGUGGAUGUAGCUGAUGAGGAGGCUGCUGCAGGCGGCGCUGAAGCAGAUGGCCGGACGGGCUCCUCGGGCCCCCCAGCAGACGAGGCAGGAGGCCGGAAGGGCUCCUCGGGCCCCCCAGCAGACGAGGCAGGAGGCCGGAGCGGUCCCUCGGACCCUCCAGCGGAGACAGGAGGCCGGAGCGGUCCCUCGGACCCUCCAGCUAACGAGGCAGGAGGCUGGAUGGGCUCCUCAGAACCCCCAGCGGACAUGAAGACGGGCUGGCCGGGCUCUCCAGAACCCCCAGCGGACAUGAGGACGGGCUGGACGGGCUCUCCAGAACCCCCAGCGGAAACGGUCACUGAACCAGCGGGCACAGGGGCCCCCGGCACACACACGGCUGACCGCAGCUGCACGGAGCACUGACCCUGCUCAGGCAGCAACAGCCGGGUGCAGUCCUCAGCUGGGCCUUUAGCCUCCAGGGGUCCAGAGCGGGCUAAGGGCUGAAACUCAGCCUCUGGGGAGGCCCUGGAGUUCAUCACAGUCACUGAAAUGGCCAGCUUUUGAGGACUGGUUACAAUACUAUGCGGUUUGUCUCUCUGCUUAGAAUGAACAGACGAAACACAGUUCUUUUCGGGUUGAAAUGACUUGCAUUGUUGUACAGGUGGAGCAACAGACACAGGACGCAGGGCUAGUGGCUGCUGAAGAGGAGGCUGGACUGAGGGUGACUGAAAUAAUGGUUGGGACGACAAUGGUGGUGAAGUUGGAGACUGAGCUGAUGGUAAGGGAGAUGAUUCUUUUACCAACUGAGCUAUUGACUGGGCUAUGGAUUCUAACAUCGUUUGCAGUAAGUCUGGCUCUGGUAGUGACAGAGCUAUGGGUUGCGAGGCAGAACGUGAUGGAGGUGACGACUGAGCGGCUAACUGAGCUUGUGGCUGCCGUGCGGCUAACUGAGCUCCUAGAGGCUGGGCAGCUAAGUGAGCUCCUAGAGGCUGGGCAGCUAAGUGAGCUCCUAGAGGCUGGGCAGCUAAGUGAGCUCCUGGAGGCUGGGCAGCUAAGUGAGCUCCUGGAGGCUGGGCAGCUAAGUGAGCUACUAGAGGGUGGGCAGCUAAGUGAGCUCCUGGAGGGUGGGCAGCUAAGUGAGCUCCUGGAAACACAUUCUUAUAAUCGACAGUAGCAGGUGAGCCAGGGAAAACACCAUAGUCCUUACUGGCGGCACAGAAAACGGCGGGCCGGGCCGCAGAUUCCCCGGCGGGCAGAGCAAAACAUUCGCCGCCGGGCUGGGUUGGGAAGCGGUAGCGGUUGAAGGGUGAAGGUGAAGCUCGUUCAGAAUGAAGUCCUGUGCGAGCGGAUGAAGAGAGUCCAGUAGCCAGGGGUGAGCAGAGAUUAAGUGCUGUAGCCUGGCUUCUACAGCGCGGUGAAAUUCCUCUCCCUCAUGUUCGAGCCACAGAUUGACCAAUCGUGAGACAGAGUCAAUUACCUCCUCCCGAAACUCCUGGGAGGGCGCGGAUGCUGCUGGGUCCAUGUUUGGUCGGCUCGUACUGUCACGGCUGGGGCAGCAGUCGUGUUGUGGAAUGAAAGGAGGACCCAAAAUGCAGGCAGCCGACUGAUGAUGUGAGUGAGUUUAUUUACACAGUGGCAGGGUGACAAAAACGGGCAAUAAAGUAUGAGCAGCUACUAAAGCAGACCUAAACUGGGAUAAACUAAAGAGCAAACCUGAAGUAAUACGAAACGGAGAAUGCAGAGAGACACAGAGAGACGCUGAUGAACGCAGAGGUACACAGAGAUACACAGACGAGCCGACGCCAGGCACAGACUGACACCCACUAUAUAUACACACACAAACAAGGAGACCAGGUAAUGACAUACAGGUGGGAGCACAGCUGAUUCUAAUACACAAGACGACCUGAGGAUACAAGCUGAACACGAUAACAGACACAGACCUUCAGAACAGAACAGGAAAUCCAGAACACGAGCCUUCAAAGUAAAACAGGAAACCUACAGACUGUUUUACAAUACGAGGACAUGACAGAGCACCGAGGACAGACACAGGUAGGGCUGAUAAAACACUGAGCUCCAGAUUCAACCCUAAACUACUACAAAAUCAGAAUAAACACAAGGCACAAAGUGAACUCCAAGGAAACACAAAACGCUGGGUCAAAAUGACCCAGGAUCAUGACAUUCUCAGCCUGUAGGGGAAAGUAAGGGGGUGAAUAAAUUGUCCUAUCUGCCCAGCCAUAGCUGGACUGGCCAUCGGGCAUACCGGGCAUUUGCCCGGUGGGCCGAUGGUGAUUUUUCGUUUUUAUUGGCCGAUGGGGUUUUUUUUUUUUUUCGUUUUUUCCCGUAACGGUAUAGACACUGAAAGGUGGUGGAUUGGCCAGAUGCUGGGAGAUGUGUAAAAAUAACUCAAUUGUUUGGUGGUGGCUAUGGGGGAGCUUCCACAGAUUCAGUAACAUUAGCAAGUGGUGGAGGCCAGCAGAUGCAACACGCUGGCAGGUGGAUGACAGAAAGGCAGGAGGAGCAGAGACCCGAGGCGGUGAACUGAACUUCAGGUAAGAAGUUAUGACCUGCAGUCUAUCUGGGUCAGAUAUAAACCAAGUUUAGGUGGAGUUUAUUUUCGUUAUGCUGACUUUUUACAGUCAGUUACAAUAACUCGUACUGCGUGCUAGGUAGCAUGACGGAGUUUAUAUACUGCUGGGCGGGUGCUGUGAUAUUAUUGAUGUUGAACUUGUUUUAUCUUAUUUAUAAGGUUUGUUGUUAGAGUUUCCAACCGUCCAGUAAAAAACGGAAUCGUCUCGUAUUCAGAGAAAAUAUUGCGCGUUUCGUAUUGAGGUGAAAAGGAACAGUUUGUCCUGGACUUCAGCUACAAUGAAAAAAACACAAAGCUGGAGUUACUCUGUGUCUUUGCUGCACAGCUGCUGCUUCUUCUUUCAUUCUCUCCCCCUCCCUCUCCUGUUUCUACUUCAAUCAUGAAACUGAUCAAUGAUCAGCUGAUCAGCUUUUCUCUCUUGUUUAUUUAUCGCCCACUUUGCGCCAGUAAGAGGAAACCAGCGGAUGUCGCGCUAAACAACAGCAGCACGUUUAAGCUUGAUCAGCUGUUGUUAAAAUUUAUUUAAUAUUAAUUUCUAGUAUCAGCUGAUGUUUGCUGGAGCAACAGCUGUAAAAGCUGCUGGUCAUGAUGGUUUGUAUAUCUGGUGAGAGGGAAACAUGAAGAUGAAACCAGGAGAUGUCCUUACUGAAUCAUCAGAGCUGAACAGGUGAUGGAGAAACAGGUUUUCCUUUUAGGUGACAUGGAUGAGUUGAAGGGAAGUUAUGAACUGUCCUGUGUGCUGUUGUUUGUAUAUGUGUCUUUUUGGCUGCUGUUACAACCAAAUUUCCCCUUGUGGGACAAUUAAAGGAUUAUUCUAUUCUAUUCUAUUCUAAAUUAAGUCCUCAACAUGUCUUGAAGUUCUCCAGAUUCCUGGUAAUGAACUAAUCAUUUGAUUCAGGUGUGUUUACCCAGGGUGAGAUCUAAAACCUGAAGAGCAACGGCCCUCAAGGCCUGGAGUUCCACGCCCAUUUUAGAAUAUGACGCGUCAACAAUAAAAUUCCGCACUGAUGAAUUUUUAUAGUUGACUUCAUCGAUUAUGGUGACAAAUUGUUCAACUGUUUUGAACAAAAUGCGGUAAUUUGCAAAACAUGCUGUUAAACCAGGGGUGGGCAACUCCAGGCCUCGAGGGCCGGUGUCCUGCAGGUUUUAGAUGUGUCCUUGACCCAACACAGCUGAUUCAAAUGGCUAAAUGAGCUCCUCAACAUGUCUUGAAGUUCUCCAGAGGCCUGGUAAUGAACUAAUCAUUUGAUUCAGCUGUGCUGACCCAGGGUGAGAUCUAAAACUUGCAGGACACCGGCCCUCGAGGCCUGGAGUUGCCCACCCUUGUGUUAAACUAUUGCUGCAAAAGGUAACAGCACCACAAAUUUAUUCCACCAGCUCAAAAGUCAUCCACUGCAAAAUUAAGACUGUUUUAAACUGCACAAGUCAACGUCUCCCCACACACACCAAAGAAAACGCUAAAUAAAGGAGCUGUCAAUCCUGUGACUGUUCUUGGUCAAUCGUCUGUAAUUUGAAGUCAUUUACAUUUUUUAUUGUACUAUUUUUAUAUCUUCUAAGCACAAAUAACACCUUUUUAAUUUCAGUUGUUUUAUUUUGUCUCAUGAAUUCUUGCUUGAUGUACUUUUUUGCUGCUAUGAUCUGUUGUUUGUUAAAGGUCUAGUGUUGACCACAGAAAGAGACUUACUGUGAAAAACCUCAGUGUGGAACUGAUGGUUAAAAAUUGGUUAAAAUAAAACAUUUUCAUUCAUUCGGAUAAUUUGUUUUCAAAAUAGAAAAAAAUAUUGAAUGGUUGAUUUGAAUGAGUAUACCAGUGCAAUUUUAGGCACUAUAUGCUUCAAAAUAACAUUUGUUUUUAUAGGUUAUUUAAACAUAUCAUGAUAUAUUGGAUUAAAUUCAAUUUACUUUUACAGCGCCAACUCACAACAACAGUCACCUCAAGGCACUUUAUAUUAAAAGGUAGACCCUACCUUAUAUAUUGUGUAUCAAAAUACCAAAAAAUAUUGCAAUAUUAGAUUUUCCUCAUAUCGCCCUGCCCUACCUGGAACUCUCAACCAUUUGAUUUUAGACUCAAGAAGCCUGUUGGAUGUUAGGUGAAACAUCUUUACAAACCUAAAGACAUCCAGUUAUCUCUCGAGGUGUGGAAGGAACCACGAACAAAAGAAAGGGUGACUGACUUAUAGCUUUUGUACUUUCAUGCAGAAGUGCUUACUAUCUAACAUUCGUACUCUGAUGGAUGCGUCACAGAGCAACUUAGGGUUAGUAUCUUCCCCAAGGACAUUUGGCCUGCAGAUGGAGACGCCAGGAAUCAAACCAGCAACCUUCAGAUUAGUAGAUGACCUGCUCUACCUCCUGAACUACAGCCACUGAAACAACAGCUGCCAGUGAGGUUCCAGACAAACUGGUAAUCCCACAUUCUUUUGCUGCGGUCUCUCUCACACAAAACAUUCGUCUCAGCUCUCCAAUCUCCAAGGCAGAAAGAUAAAGGUGAGCUGCUUUUCCUAGAAACAAGCAGUGCAAAAACAUCUACCACAGAAGCCUGGCUAGACUAACUGUAGUAGUUCAAUGAUCCAGUGCACAAACCCAAAAGGGAGAGCGCCGGAUGAGUCCUGGCCUGAAACACAGAGUGGGCUUAAUACACAAAUUAACAAGGAGAGAGGAGAGAGAGAGGUGUCGAGCCAGCACAGGAGGACUGAGGGACUGUGGCAAUUUUUUAAAUUAAGACCUUUUUAAAUUACUAAAAUAUAAAUGUCCAGGGUGAGGUCUCUAAAUUAUUUGUCCAAAAGUGUAAUAUGUGUGGUAAAAUAUUUACAGGUCCAUUACAAUUACCCUACAACAAAUACACACACAUUUUCAUUUAGUAGUUUUUAUAUAUUAUAUAUUAUGUUUAUGAUAUUGUGAAAUAAUUAUAGAACAAAUAUAGAUACAGAGUAGGCCUAUCUCUUGAUUUUUUUAUGACACAAGGGUUUUUUAGUGCACUAGCUUUUCUAAACUGCUACAAUUAAGAAUUAGAAAACACAGACACACACACACCCAAGAAAAGCAGUUCUUGUUGACUAAGAUGAACAGGUAUGCAGACCGAAUAUUUUUAUAGGUUCUCUCGUGUUUUGUUCAAACAGCUGUACUUUGACAGAUAGAUGACCUGUGCGCGCAAGUGCCAAUCAGAGCAAAACAGAAAAAGUGAGACCUGGGACGACAAGGGUAAAGUUAUAUCUUGUAGCAGGUAGUGAGAUAUAGAAACCUUUUAAAAUAGUAGUGUCAUUCUGCCAUCUGCUGGAGAAAAUAUGACAUCAAACCUGCAUAAUGGGUUAUAU